GUCUACUGCUAUGCUACCUUGAACAAGCUGGAUCUCGUUUGAUCUUGGAAGCUAAGCAGGGUCGAGCCUGGUUAGUAUUUGGAUGGGAGAUCGCCAGGUGGUACAGGUGUAAAAAGUA
rnacentral:rRNA from 1 species